CGGGGCGUAGCGCAGCCUGGUAGCGCACCAGCAUGGGGUGCUGGGGGUCGAGUGUUCGAAUCACUUCGCCCCGACCA
rnacentral:tRNA from 4 species